rnacentral:rRNA from 1 species
GAUGAACGCUGGCGGCGCGCCUAACACAUGCAAGUCGAACGGCACCCACCUUCGGGUGGAAGCGAGUGGCGAACGGCUGAGUAACACGUGGAGAACCUGCCCCCUCCCCCGGGAUAGCCGCCCGAAAGGACGGGUAAUACCGGAUACCCCGGGGUGCCGCAUGGCACCCCGGCUAAAGCCCCGACGGGAGGGGAUGGCUCCGCGGCCCAUCAGGUAGACGGCGGGGUGACGGCCCACCGUGCCGACAACGGGUAGCCGGGUUGAGAGACCGACCGGCCAGAUUGGGACUGAGACACGGCCCAGACUCCUACGGGAGGCAGCAGUGGGGAAUCUUGCGCAAUGGGGGGAACCCUGACGCAGCGACGCCGCGUGCGGGACGGAGGCCUUCGGGUCGUAAACCGCUUUCAGCAGGGAAGAGUCAAGACUGUACCUGCAGAA